GUUCUCUAGAUCCAUGGUUCUCCAGAUGGUGAGAUCUCGUAUGCACCUCCAGCUAUUUGGUCGUGGUCAUGGUGGAGAGGUCGCAGUCUGAUUGUUUAAGGGUGUGGACAGGUGUCCAACAGGAGCCAUUAAUACAGGAACGCUGAGGCCUUCCUCACUGAUCACCUGAGGAUCACCUGAGGAUCACCUGAUGAUUACCUGAUGAUCACCUGAUGAUCAAUGGAGUCAUAAAUAGACAAUGUAAAAUGUA